CCUACGGGAGGCAGCAGUGGGGAAUAUUGCACAAUGGGCGCAAGCCCUGAUGCAGCCAUGCCGCGGGUAUGAACAAGGCCUUCGGGUUGUAAAGUACUUUCAGCGAGGAGGAAGGUGUUGUGGUUAAUAACCACAGCAAUUGACGUUACUCGC
rnacentral:rRNA from 1 species